rnacentral:lncRNA from 1 species
ACAUAACAAUUUGAUACAUAAAUACUGAACUAAUCCACUGAUACAUAAGUACCAGUACAUAACUCUUAUAUAUGUGUUAAGAUCACAGAGAUACAUUCAGAUACAAUAUUCUUAUGUAUCAGUAGCACAAAAACAUUCUAAUACAUGAUUUUUGCCAGAUUUUUAAUCAAAGAGAUCUUUCAUAUGUAUUUAUAACCUAAUACUCAGCAAGAUACAUAGCUUUUGUACCUUUGGUGGAGGGUCGCGUGAUGUAUCUUCUUGUCGUUUCCAACUAGAUACAUCAUUCUUAUGUAUCUCCAAACUCCUUUAACAGAUACAUCAUUCUCAUGUAUCUUUAUUAACAUCAUCAUCUUCAACCUCCAUUGAUGAAUCUCCGAAUUCCUUCUAUUUGUACCUUUUUUAGCCGAUCCCGUGAUGUAUCUUCAUUCUGAUACAUAUUUGACAAUGACUUUUCAAUUAUUUUAACAGAGCUUCAUCGAAAUUGGUCGAAGCAAUGGAGAUAGCAAUGACACCACGACAACGGCUUGACGGUGAUGAUAUGGUGGUUUUGUGAUCUGUUUCAGUUUGUUUUUAAUAGAAUUGGGAGAGGGGGAAUUGGUUUCAACGAUGUUGGAAGGGCAGUGAUGGUGUGGGUGGUGGUCGGCUGCAUGAGUCUAAUUUUAUAGUCGGCAAUGGAGAUGUUUCGGCCGCUCUUUUAGGUCAUUUAGGUGAUAAUGGAGGAG